UACGGGGGGGGCAAGCGUUGUUCGGAAUUACUGGGCGUAAAGGGCGCGUAGGCGGUUCGCUAAGUUGGAUGUGAAAACUCUGGGCUCAACCCAGAGCCUGCAUCCAAAACUGGCGGGCUAGAGUUCUGGAGGGGGUAGCGGAAUUCCUGGUGUAGCGGUGAAAUGCGUAGAGAUGUGGAGGAAUACCGAUGGCGAAGGCAGCCCCCUGGGAUAACACUGACGCUCAUGCACGAAAGCGUGGGGAGCAAACAGG
rnacentral:rRNA from 1 species